CCUACGGGUGGCUGCAGUAGGGAAUUUUGCGCAAUGGGGGAAACCCUGAUGCAGCGACGCCGCGUGAGUGAAGAAGUAAUUCGUUACGUAAAGCUUUAUCAGCAGGGAAGAAACACUGACCUUACGGUCAGCAGACGGUACCUGAGUAAGAAGCCCCGGCUAACUACGUGCCAGCAGCCGCGGUAAUACGUAGGGGGCAAGCGUUAUCCGGAUUUACUGGGUGUAAAGGGAGCGUAGAUGGUGCGCCAAGUCUGGCGUGAAAUGCCGCAGCUUAACUGCGGAACUGCUUUGGAAACUGGCGAACUAGAGUGCGGGAGGGGUAAGCGGAAUUCCUAGUGUAGCGGUGAAAUGCGUAGAUAUUAGGAGGAACACCGGUGGCGAAGGCGGCUUACUGGACCGUAACUGACGUUGAGGCUCGAAAGCGUGGGGAGCAAACAGGAUUAGAUACCCGAGUAGUC
rnacentral:rRNA from 1 species